rnacentral:tRNA from 1 species
UAUUACUUUUAAGCUUCUAACUUAAAAAAAAGCAUUUAUAUGUUAU